rnacentral:rRNA from 1 species
UACAGAGGUCCCAAGCGUUGUUCGGAUUCACUGGGCGUAAAGGGCGCGUAGGCGGUCACGCACGUCCGUUGUGAAAUCGCUCGGCUCAACUGGGCGGGGUCAGCGGAUACGGCGUGGCUGGAGCAAGCUAGGGGGCAAUGGAAUUCCCGGUGUAGUGGUGGAAUGCGUAGAUAUCGGGAGGAACACCAGUGGCGAAGGCGGUUGCCUGGAGCUUUGCUGACGCUGAUGCGCGAAAGCGUGGGGAGCGAUCCGG